CGUGACCUUGCUAGCGCAGUGGUGCGCACUCCCUGCGCCUCUGUGCGGAUCCAGUGCUAAGAGGGAGGCCGGACGCGGACGCGGCGCUGGCUGAGAUGGUCCAGCUCCUCCCCUUUACUCACAUGUCCUUCCCUUCCUGUCACUGCCUCCCCUCGGGACGCUGCUGUUGCAGGGGUUUACUGGCGCCACAUCCAAAUGAUGGGGACCCGCGCCUGCCGUAGCUAAAGACCGGACCCGCUGUUGAUGCUAAUGCCGCGGACCCGCUGCUCAGGAAGUUGAACUGAGGGAAGUCUGCCGGCAGACACCGCAUCCAUCCCCAGGAACGGACAUCCACCACUGUACACAGGUGACUUCACCGGCCCUUUUGAAGCAAACUCCGGAGGAGGUAUGCUGAUGUGCAUUUUCUGGAGUUCAAUGCAUCCUCCUACAGAACACCGGUCCCUUCGUUGUGACUAGUGCACAGAUGAUACUGGGGAACGAAGACUCUUUCCACCGUUUGAUGCACUUAUGAAAUGAUGAUCAAUACCAAGUUACAGACAGUAGUUGAUAAGGAGCAGGCUUUAUUGGUAAACCAAAAUUAUCAUACAGUAAGCACUAUAAAACCGUCAUGUAGAACCAAACAUUAAAGUACAAUCUAGUUCCCACUAUCCGACAUUCUGUAUGACAAAUACUGUGCACUCAGGAGUAUAACUACCCGAAAUAACCAAUUACUAAACUAUUUAUAGUCUGUGAAAUCUAUAAGAUGUUUAUUUCGAAAGGAAAUGAGUGGGGCCUACUAUGAGUGGGUGUUUUUUAACUUCAGUCCUCAAGUACUCCCAAACAGUCAUGUUCUAAGAAUUAGUAUAGGAACAUGUUUGUCAA